UACGAAGGGGGCUAGCGUUGUUCGGAAUCACUGGGCGUAAAGGGCGCGUAGGCGGCCGAUCAAGUCGGGGGUGAAAGCCUGUGGCUCAACCACAGAAUUGCCUUCGAUACUGUUUGGCUUGAGACCGGAAGAGGUUAGUGGAACUGCGAGUGUAGAGGUGAAAUUCGUAGAUAUUCGCAAGAACACCAGUGGCGAAGGCGGCUGACUGGUCCGGUACUGACGCUGAGGCACGAAAGCGUGGGGAGCAAACAGG
rnacentral:rRNA from 1 species